rnacentral:rRNA from 1 species
GACGAACGCUGGCGGCGUGCUUAACACAUGCAAGUCGAACGGAAAUGCCCUGCUUUUGUGGGGUGCUCGAGUGGCGAACGGGUGAGUAACACGUGAGUAACCUGCCCUUGACUUUGGGAUAACUUCAGGAAACUGGGGCUAAUACCGGAUAGGAGCUCCUGCUGCAUGGUGUGGGUUGGAAAUUUUCGGCGGUUGGGGAUGGACUCGCGGCUUAUCAGCUUGUUGGUGGGGUAGUGGCUUACCAAGGCUUUGACGGGUAGCCGGCCUGAGAGGGUGACCGGCGACAUUGGGACUGAGAGACGGCGCAGACGCCUACGGGAGGCAGCAGGGGGGAAUAUUGCACAAUGGGCGGAAGCCUGAUGCAGCAACGCCGCGUGCGGGAUGACGGCCUUCGGGUUGUAAACCGCUUUCGCCUGUGACGAAGCGUGAGUGACGGUAAUGGGUAAAGAAGCACCGGCUAACUACGUG